rnacentral:lncRNA from 1 species
GCUGACGCUUGCCUAACAAUGAUGCAACUAACUCACUGAAGGCCUCUACGGUCUCCCAGGUUCGAUCCUACACAGAUGGACUCAAAUGAGGGAUCAAACAUAACUAUUAUAUGACUCCAAACAACUCCGAAAAAACCCCCCUAAAACAUAACAAAACAUGCACAUAAAACAAGCAGAGGAAGGCUGGGCAGGGGACUUUCGGCGGCCUAAACUCCACACAGAUCUGAAAGUCAGCAACCUUCGGGGACAAGUUCGGCGGCCUAAACCCCUUCACAAAUUCGAAAGUCCAUGCUUCUUUCGGGAGCAGGUUAGGCAGCCAAAAGGCUGCCUCCACAAGUAGGUUCGGCGGCCGAACCUGGAUUCUCCAACAAUGCAAAACCCGAUUCUGCCCUAUGCACACAGCCACCAAACUCUCCAAUCCUCACACCCAACAACUCAAAAACAUGCAUACUCACUCAUCAUGUAUAAGGGGCAUAAAAACUAGCCUAAUCCCCAAUAAGCAACAACAAAAACACAUAAGAGUAAACAUUCAUUAAUAACCCAACUCAAACCCUAAAACUUUAGAUCUAACCAUUUCAUACAUUAUUAACCCUUAAUCCUUCUUAAAACUUGAUUAAAACAUAGGAAAGACAAAGAUCUAGACUUACCUCUUGGAGAUCUAAGGGUGACAGUAGCCCCAGCUUGAAGAUGAGGUAAAACGGUCUUCGGAGGUCUCCAAGGUUUAAAAACUUGGAUUCAAGCUCAAAACUUCAAAAACAAUAGGAAACUCGUGAAUUUCCUAAGAUAUUGGAAGGAAAAACAACAAGAUCAUCAAAGGAAGGGCAAGGACUCACCUCUGCCAGAAAAUGGAGAGAAAGCUGUCUCAUUUUCGGGCUGAAGGCCUCUUAUAGGUGGCUGGUUAAACCACUUUCGGGGGCUGAAAGGGGAGGUCCCGCGGCGGCACCACCUUCGGCGGCCGAACUUGAAGGUUCGGCGGCCGAACUUGGGGUUUUCCUUCAAAACAUUUUUCUUUCUUUCUUUUUAACUCAAAACCUUAAAAUUUUGAAAUUUAUUUUAUAAAAACCUUAUUUUACCCUUCCUAAGGAGAUUUCAGUUUCGAGAUUUUGGGUUCCAACGGAGAUUCCGUCAGAAGGUUGGAAUUCCGACGCCGGAGUCUAGCUGGGUAUUACAAAAACUGUGUUUGGAAAUGGAUGUUUGUUUUUAAAGUAUAAUUUUCAACCCACCACUCAGAAAAUUUUUUUCUUGAAAAGCUCUAAAUACCUUAGAAACCUUCCAUUCUUCCCAAAUAAUAGAAACCUAAUUAAGUUUAAAAAUCAUGAAAAAACCACACCUUAUAAGACUAUAUUUUAAAAAACCUUACUUUACCCUACCUCCUUCAAAAUAGAAUGUAUGACGAGGGAAUCAACCAAAUAAAAAUAAUCUGAAACUAAACCAAAAUCUUCCAAUAUGGAAGGAAAGAACGAUGGAAAGAGCUAACCUCUUAUUAGAUCACAAGAGAAGGAGAAGUGAUAGGAAGCAAGGAUGGAUCUAGAAGAAGUGAAAUCAACAUGAACAUCGAUACUGAGAGAAUGGAUUUGAUGGACACUGGUGGAGGUUGCUUGUGAUGAGCUGCAAGAUAGAGAUCAAAGCCUCCUCCAGCUACCCUUUGCAUCUUCCUCCCUUCCUCCUUAAGCAGUUGCUAUGGCAAUUACAAGAUAUCCUAAGCUGCAAGAGAUUUGUUCAAAGUUUAUCUAGGGGAUUGUCAAUUGCAAUUUCAGCGAAUCAAUAGAGGCGUUGUG